AUACAGAGGGUGCGAGCGUUAAUCGGAAUUACUAGGCGUAAAGCGCGCGUAGGCGGCUUGGUCAGUCGGAUGUGAAAGCCCCGGGCUCAACCUGGGAAUGGCAUUCGAUACUGCCAGGCUAGAGUAUGGGAGAGGGAAGUGGAAUUUCCGGUGUAGCGGUGAAAUGCGUAGAUAUCGGAAGGAACACCAGUGGCGAAGGCGACUUCCUGGCCCAAUACUGACGCUGAGGUGCGAAAGCGUGGGGAGCGAACAGGAUUAGAAACCCUAGUAGUCC
rnacentral:rRNA from 1 species